UACGUAGGGUGCAAGCGUUGUCCGGAAUUAUUGGGCGUAAAGAGCUCGUAGGCGGUCUGUUGCGUCGGCUGUGAAAACCCGGGGCUCAACUCCGGGCCUGCAGCCGAUACGGGCAGACUAGAGUUCGGCAGGGGAGACUGGAAUUCCUGGUGUAGCGGUGAAAUGCGCAGAUAUCAGGAGGAACACCGGUGGCGAAGGCGGGACUCUGGGCCGCAACUGACGCUGAGGAGCGAAAGCAUGGGGGAGCGAACAGG
rnacentral:rRNA from 1 species